GUGUCUGUAGUUUAAACGUAAAAUAUCGUCCUUCCAAGACGAAGAUGCCUGUUCGUACACAGGUCAGACGCA
rnacentral:tRNA from 1 species